CUCUGGGAAAGCUCCAGCACAAAGGAGAGCGCGGCGGGCAGGAGCCAGCGGAACCGGCGCCCCCCGGCCCCAGCGCGGCCCCCCGGAGCAGAAUCCUCAUCAAGAAUAGGGCUCCUGCCAGUCCCCUCGCUGCCCCACAGAGCCAUGUGGAACAGGGGACAUUGCACAGCACUCCUCUAGUGAUGACCACAGUGCCACCACCCCAGGGGCACGGCCCAGCUCCUGCCUGGCCAGACUGACCAUGUCCAGAGGGGACCCAGGCUCAGGAGCUGCCAUCACCACCAGGACACGAUGCCAGAGCCAGGCUGGCCCCAGCAGAGCACCCUGGUACCCUCUGCCAUGGCGUGGAGCCACCAGCCCGGCCACUGCAGGGGACACGGCCCAGGAGAUGCGGUGGUGACGUCCGAGGACACGGGGCUGAGCAUGCACACGGUUCUCCUGCAAGGUGCUGGGGUGUCCUUGCCUCCCACUGCUGCCCCCAGGCCUGUCCCCUGCUCUGAGCACGCAGUAGGAGGAGGGAGAAGGAAAAGGGAGUGGGGGCAGAGCUGUGCCAGCUCCUCAUGGUGACACGAUGGGCAGAGCCCACAGGGGCUCUGUUUGUCCCCACUGAUCCUGCCCUUCCCUCUGGCUCUUGGUGAAGUCCUGGUGCUUUCUGGAGCGUCCUGGAGCUUGGGGAGGAGCAUGGGCAGUGAAUCCUCCUGCCAUGGCCUCUGCAGUGGCCCUGUAAGGGUGGGACCCUGUCCUCACCAAGCAGCCACUCGGGCCCAUGUCCCAACACAGGGACAAGGACAGGGGUACAGUGGGCUGGGGGCACACACAGCACAUGGCAGGUGUCACAGCCUUGAAGGCUGAACUGGAAAAGUGUCUCUUGGGGACCAGAGGAGCUCAUGCUGUGGGAGGAGGUGACCCAGAGGGACUCAGGGCAGAGGCUUUCCUGGGUGCCCUAUCCCAGCCCUGUUUCCUGGGGCACAGUGCUCCUGCAGCUCUUGGAGCAGUGCUCAGCCCCAUGGAGAGGCAGCUUCUGAUGGGGAGGGGGUGAGCUGUGGGUCACCUUUCCUCUGCUCCAUGGUGGUUUUCCCUGCUGGACCUUCUCCUCCCUGCACGUGCAGUGGGAGCUGGGGCAGUCCUGGAGCAGCUGUCACGGUCUCUGCUGGAGCCCUUACCCCAAACACUGCCAGUGAUUCUUUCCCCAUCUCCUCUUCUGCUUCUUGAGCUCCUUCAGAGUCCUUUGGGCACUGCUGGGGCUGUGUCCUCCAUGCAUCCUGUCUCCCACCUUUCCCAGCACCAGGGGUGGGCAGCCCAUGUUGUGAGGGGCCUCUGGUACCUCCCUGGCAGGGAUCAGAGGGGCAGAUGCCUGCUGAGCAUUUCAUUCAGGGACAGGUUCUGCUGCACCAGCUAAACCCUCCACUAACACCUUCCCAAACGCCAGAGCCCAAAACCGCCUCCUGCUCUUGUGAGCCAGAGCCCUGCUGCUGACAGGCCUGGCUCUGCAUGCUGCCAAUAUUAACCUACUAACCUGCUGGGACCCCUGUGCCCUCCCUGGGGCUGCCACAGCCCCUGGCACACGGACUAACCCACUAACCAGCCCAGCGCAUGCCCUACUAACCCACAGCAGCCCUGCCUCGUGCCCACUAACCACGGCAGCAGCGCUGCCUUUAAAGGGGAACAGAAAAGCUGGGAAAAGGGGUUUGGAGGUGCCAGGUGUCAGUGCCAGGCUGCACAGGCAGGGACAGGCAGGGGCAGCCCUGGAGAGAGCACUGGGCAGGAGUGGGGUUGGGCAGCUCCAGUCCUGGGCAGAGAGGGGACUGCUGGUCCCUGGGUAGAGAGGGGACAGCAGCCCCUUCCCCAGCAGGAGAGGGGACAGCAGCCCCUGCCCUGGUCAGGAAAGGGGAGCAGCAGCCCCUGCCCCAGACAGGAGAGGGAACCAGCAGCCCCUGGCCCGGGCAGCCCUCGGCAGCAUGAGGAGAGGGUUUCUCCCCACUCGCCCUGCCCAGCUCUGCCUGUGGAGCCUGGUGCUGACUAGGAGCCUAAAACGGUUUUAUCAGCAGAAGCUUUUCAGUUCCUUUUUAAGCCAGUGGAUCUCUGUUACUAACACAUUCCUGAACUGAAUUAAACAAACUAACCAUUGCUGCUUUUCUCUUCAUUUCUCUUCCAGUGUGUGUGUCCUGUAAGGCAGACCAGCGCCCUGCUUCUGUUACUAACCUGUUCUUCUGUUCCCACUGUACUAAUCCUCCCUGACUCUUUCUCUCUUGCUACUAACAACUCUCUUUGCACUUUGCCUCUCGGGUGCUGUUUGCCAUGACAAGUGACAGUGGCUCCUCCUGGACUUACUCACCUGCAGCACUCGAUUUUCCGUGCUGCUGAGCAUCCCUGGCUCCCGUUUGGUACCAUGGGAAAGAAGAUAGAUGCUCAGCCUGGGGCGCUUUGAAUAUUUCCCUCUUGGCCUGUUUUUCCAACAAAUUUCACGUGGCACAAUGAGGAGAAGAGGCUGAGUGGCAAAAGGACAGUACAAAGCCAUUAAUGGCUGUAGAGGCCCAGCAAACCCAGUUUGCAGAGAGAUUCAGCCACAGAGCAAAGCUGUUGCCAUGAGCCUGUGCUUGGGGCUCUCCUGAGGCCCCAGGUCACCUGUCAUGGGGAAUGUUCUCGUGCUGCUCCCAGCAUUGGCGCUCCUGGGCUCCUCUCUUCCCCCUCUGUGUCUCUCCACAGUUUCUCUUGUGCCUGGUGCAUGUGGAAGCCUCUGCUGGCAGCGUGGCCCUGACUAACUCAGCUCUGUGUCACUGUCCCACUGCAGGCUCCCCUGGCCCCAGCCCAGGACAGGGCUGGGCAGUGGGUGUCACAGGUGAUGGGGACACAGCCUGGCCUUUGCUUUCUGUCCAGAUGAACAUCCCCAGCCUCUGCAGGGACCCUGCCAGGGUGAAGGAUCCAGGCCCUGGCCUGCUGCUGGGGGUUUGGCACGUGGCAAGGCACUGAUGGCAUUCAGGCUGCCAUGACCAGGGGGACAGAGCCAAGCUGUCCCUGUGUGCCAGCAGAGGAUGGUGGCCCUGUGCUGCUGGGAGGAUAUGCCAGACUGUGGCAGCUCUCUCAGGGGGGCAGACCCAGACAGGGCCCAGCUCUGGCUGCUCUCUCUUGGCUCUGCCCUGUGCUCGCUGCUCUCAUGGCCAGGGCUUCCCCAGACCUGUGUCACUGGCUGAUGUCACUGUCACCGAAGGCAGAGCCAGAGGGGUCUCCUGGGUGGCCCCAUGACAGUGCCACCUCCCUUGCUAUGCACUGAGCCCAACCUGCUCCUUCAGUUGGGGGGGUCUCAUUCAGGCUGUUGGGGGUCCCCUCCCCACCCAGCUCUGUGUCUGUCCAGCCUCCACCUCAUCCCACUGAUCCCCCAAUGCCACCAGGAUGGGUUUUAGGGCUGGUGCUCCUGUGUUCGAUGGAAGGGGGAGACAGGGGCAGAGUAGGGAGCACAGAGACAGGAAUGGGACAGGAGGACGAGCCAGGUCAGGCCCAGGGUGAGCAGGUUCAGGGCUCCUGCACAGGACAGGAGCAGCACCAGCACGGGGCUGGAGUUGUCAGAGCCCAUCUCUGUGAGGGACUCUCCUCCCCACCCCACCCCACAGACCCCCCCUUUCUGCUCCAGAGCAGCCCCCUGUGCACAGGGGGCCCUCCCAAGGCUGGUCACCCCGGGGAGCUGUGGGACCACGAGUCACCUCCAUGGCAGAGGAUGGCAGAUGUCACCCUGCACAGCCUGCACAGUGGGGACGGGCCACCAGUGCCCGUGGGUGGCUGCUCCCCCCCUCAGAGCAGGGCAGGAGGGCAGAGAGGCUCCACCAAACAACCAGGUCACUCCUUUGCCCUGCUCCUGCACCUCAGGGCUCCCUGUCCCUGCUCCCCAGUCCCCGUGGCUGGCAGGAGCUGAUCUGUCUGUCUGUCCAUCCCUCUCUGCCGUGUGGAGAGGGGCAGGAUGUGCAGCCCCCCUUCCUUCCAGCUGUGCUGGUGGACGUGUGGCCAGGGCAGCCCAGCAGUGACACGGGCAGAGCUGAGCCCUGGGGACACUGUCCUGCCCAGGCUGGGCAGGGCUGCCCCUGCUCUGCGGGCACAGCCACGCUGGCUGGGCACUGGCCAGGAGUCCCACAAGUGCCACAGCCCCGAGGAUGUCCCCACAGCCCCGAGGAUGUCCCCACUGCCUGUAAAGUCUACUGUGAACAUGGCAAGUGUGCAACCA